rnacentral:rRNA from 1 species
UUGACCUCGGAUCAGGUAGGGAUACCCGCUGAACUUAAGCAUAUCAAUAAGCGGAGGAAAAGAAACCAACAGGGAUUGCCCCAGUAACGGCGAGUGAAGCGGCAAGAGCUCAAAUUUGAAAGCUGGCUCCUUCGGGGUCCGCAUUGUAAUUUGCAGAGGAUGCUUCGGGAGCGGUCCCCAUCUAAGUGCCCUGGAACGGGACGUCAUAGAGGGUGAGAAUCCCGUAUGGGAUGGGGUGUCCGCGCCCGUGUGAAGCUCCUUCGACGAGUCGAGUUGUUUGGGAAUGCAGCUCUAAAUGGGUGGUAAAUUUCAUCUAAAGCUAAAUAUUGGCCGGAGACCGAUAGCGCACAAGUAGAGUGAUCGAAAGAUGAAAAGCACUUUGAAAAGAGAGUUAAAAAGCACGUGAAAUUGUUGAAAGGGAAGCGCUUGCGACCAGACUCGCUCGCGGGGUUCAGCCGGCAUUCGUGCCGGUGUACUUCCCCGCGGGCGGGCCAGCGUCGGUUUGGGCGGUCGGUCAAAGGCCCUCGGAAGGUAACGCCCCUAGGGGCGUCUUAUAGCCGAGGGUGCAAUGCGACCUGCCUGGACCGAGGAACGCGCUUCGGCUCGGACGCUGGCAUAAUGGUCGUAAGCGACC